rfam:Gossypium raimondii Chr03_contig_24, whole genome shotgun sequence.
UAUUAAAAAUUUCAUCAAUUUUUACGGUUAAAAACUAGCGUAGCUGACAAAAUAAUCAGACAAUUACAUGUGGUGUGCCACGUGUACCUCAUGCACACAUAAAAGGACCAAUUUUUAACAGUAGAAACGGAUGAAAUUUCUUAAGA